GCUCGGUUCGUCUAGUUGGACUAGGACACCAUCUUGGUAAGAUGGAAACAUCGGAUCGUAACCGAUACUGAGAUC
rnacentral:tRNA from 1 species